GCAGCUUGUGCAGUUGAUGCACAUAGUUUUGUAUUUCCAGUUGCCUAUGGUGUGCUAGAGACAGAGUCUGAGGAGAGCUGGACUUGGUUUUUGCAUAAUCUCCGCCGGGCUAUUGCACAUCCCAAUGGGUUGGUCAUUCAUACAGAUGCCUGCAAAGGUUUAGAAGUGGCCGUGGACAAUGUGUUCCCUGGAGUAGAGCAUAGGGAAUGCAUGCGUCACCUUGCUGCAAAUUUCAUGAAGAAAUUCAAAGGAAAGGUGUAUACCGACAAUUUAUGGCCAACAUCUUUGACAUGCAGUGUGAAGAAGCACAACUACCACUUAGGCAGUUAUACAUGA
rnacentral:rRNA from 1 species